ACGCUGGCGGCAGGCCUAACACAUGCAAGUCGAGCGGCAGCACGGGAAGCUUGCUUCCUGGUGGCGAGCGGCGGACGGGUGAGUAAUGCAUAGAAAUCUGCCCGGUAGUGGGGGAUAACCUGGGGAAACCCAGGCUAAUACCGCAUACGUCCUACGGGAGAAAGCAGGGGAUCUUCGGACCUUGCGCUAUCGGAUGAGUCUAUGUCGGAUUAGCUUGUUGGUGAGGUAAUGGCUCACCAAGGCGACGAUCCGUAGCUGGUCUGAGAGGAUGAUCAGCCACAUCGGGACUGAGACACGGCCCGAACUCCUACGGGAGGCAGCAGUGGGGAAUAUUGGACAAUGGGCGAAAGCCUGAUCCAGCCAUGCCGCGUGUGUGAAGAAGGCCUUCGGGUUGUAAAGCACUUUCAGUGGGGAAGAAAGCCUUGGGGCCAAUACCCUCGAGGAAGG
rnacentral:rRNA from 1 species